rnacentral:rRNA from 1 species
GACAGAGGGUGCAAACGUUGUUCGGAAUUACUGGGCGUAAAGCGCGUGUAGGCGGCCCGGCAAGUCGGAUGUGAAAACCCGCGGCUCAACCGUGGAAGUGCAUUCGAAACUGCAGGGCUAGAGUCCUGGAGAGGAAGGUGGAAUGCUUGGUGUAGAGGUGAAAUUCGUAGAUAUCAAGCGGAACACCGGUGGCGAAGGCGGCCUUCUGGACAGUGACUGACGCUGAGACGCGGAAGCGUGGGGAGCAAACAGG